GACCGGGAUGGACGAACCUCUUGUGUUCCAGCUGUCGUGCCAACGGCAUGGCUGGGUAGCGAAGUUCGGUUGUGAUAACCGCUGAAUGCAUAUAAGCGGGAAGCACUCCUCAAGAUUAGAUCUCCCAAUCCAAAAGGAUCAAGAAGAGCACAGGAAGACCACCUGUUUGAUAGGCUGGAUGUGUAAACGCAGUAAUGCGUGAGCUUACCAGUACUAAUCGCUCGUUCGGCUUGACCAU
rnacentral:rRNA from 1 species